GGAGCAGCCAGGGCCUGAAUGGUGCCCAUAUGGGAUCCUGGAGCAUGCCAGUUGAGGAUUUAACCACCAGACUGCUGUGCUGGGCCCCACUUCAUUUGUUUUUAUUGGGUGUGCAGAUGCCUAAUUUAGAUCUUAAGGAAAAAGUGGAACCUGACGUUCUUCUCACUGAUACUCAAACUUCCCCAGAUGCUGGCACCAGGAUGAAUCAUUGGCUGAAGAGAACAAGACGCCUAAAAUCUCAGGGAUGCCUCUCUGCACUUGGGACCUGAAGUGGCACUGUGUCACGUACCACUCUCCUUCAUGCCCCCUCAGAGCCCAGGCUGAAGAGAAACGCACAGUCUUGCAAGAGACGCAGCACAGACAUGUAGAAAAACAUAGGGUUUUCAAGCCAGAGUUGCCGGAGUCAGAGGAUGGCAUGUGAAUGGACGAAGCUCUGACACAGUUAUGCUUCCAAGUAACAGCAUCUUUUGAUGACUCUAGGAAGAACAAUCAUAUUACCUCAAGUCCUAGUUUUGCUGUAUGAAGACUGCAGCCCAAACCAGAAGAAGCAGGAACCAACUCUGGAACACUUAAGUGCCGCACUGCGGGGAGGGGAGCAAGACCUACCCUUGGAAGAUGGAGCCAUGGGCAGCCAGCGUCUGUGGGUGUGGGGGAACUGGCUGAGCCCUCCUGGCCCUGGAGCGGCAGGCAAGACUGUUUGGGUAUGGGGAGGCUGGCAAGCUGGCUCUGGAGAGGAUGGUGAUAAGACUGUGGGCACAGGAGGUAUAGGCAGAGCCAGCCUGGCUAUGGAAGGCCUAUGAACUGGAGGCACCAGCCCAGUCAAUGUGGUCCUGGAGCAGUCAGCUGCCAGAGGGUGGCUGUGGGCACUGGCAGAGCCUGCCUGGCACCAGUGGUUGGCAGGCAA